rnacentral:rRNA from 1 species
GUCUACGGCCAUGCCACCCUGAACAAGCCUGAUCCCAUCUGAUCUCGACAGCUAAGCAGGGUCGGGCCUGGUUAGUACUUGGAUGAGAGACCACCUAGGAAGACCAGGUGCUGUAGACA